rnacentral:rRNA from 1 species
AACGAACGCUGGCGGCAUGCCUAACACAUGCAAGUCGAACGAGACCUUCGGGUCUAGUGGCGCACGGGUGCGUAACGCGUGGGAAUCUGCCCUUGGGUUCGGAAUAACAGUUAGAAAUGACUGCUAAUACCGGAUAAUGUCUUCGGACCAAAGAUUUAUCGCCCAGGGAUGAGCCCCGCGUAGGAUUAGCUAGUUGGUGAGGUAAAGGCUCACCAAGGCGACGAUCCUUAGCUGGUCUGAGAGGAUGAUCAGCCACACUGGGACUGAGACACGGCCCAGACUCCUACGGGAGGCAGCAGUGGGGAAUAUUGGACAAUGGGCGAAAGCCUGAUCCAGCAAUGCCGCGUGAGUGAUGAAGGCCUUAGGGUUGUAAAGCUCUUUUACCCGGGAUGAUAAUGACAGUACCGGGAGAAUAAGCCCCGGCUAACUCCGUGCCAGCAGCCGCGGUAAU